rnacentral:rRNA from 1 species
GAUGAACGCUGGCGGUGUGCCUAAUACAUGCAAGUCGAGCGAACAGACGAGGAGCUUACUCCUCUGACGUUAGCGGCGGACGGGUGAGUAACACGUGGAUAACCUACCUAUAAGACUGGGAUAACUUCGGGAAACCGGAGCUAAUAGCGGAUAACAUGUUGAACCGCAUGGUUCAACAGUGAAAGACGGUCUUGCUGUCACUUAUAGAUGGAUCCGCGUCGCAUUAGCUAGUUGGUAAGGGAACGGCUUACCAACGCAACGAUGCGUAGCCGACCUGAGAGGGUGAUCGGCCAGACUGGAACAGAGACACGGUCCAGACUCCUACGGGAGGCAGCGGUAGGGAAUCUUCCGCGAUGGGCGAAAGCCUGACGGAGCAACGCCGCGUGAGUGAAGAAGGUCUUCGGAUCGUAAAACUCUGUUAUUAGGAAAGAACAAAUGUGUAAGUAACUGUGCACGUCUUGACGGUACCUAAUCAGAAAGCCACGGCUAACUACGUG